CCUACGGUGUGCAGCAGUGAGGAAUAUUGGUCAAUGGACGAGAGUCUGAACCAGCCAAGUAGCGUGAAGGAUGACUGCCCUAUGGGUUGUAAACUUCUUUUAUAUGGGAAUAAAAUGUUCCACGUGUGGGAUUUUGUAUGUACCAUAUGACUAAGGAUCGGCUAACUCCGUGCCAGCAGCCGCGGUAAUACGGAGGAUCCGAGCGUUCUCCGGAUUUAUUGGGUUUAAGGGGAGCGUAGGUGGAUUGUUAAGUCAGUUGUGAAAGUUUGCGGCUCAACCGUAAAAUUGAAGUUGAAACUGGCAGGAUUGAGUACAGUAGAGGUGGGCGGAAUGCGUGGUGUAGCGGUGAAAUGCUGAGAUAUCACGAAGAACUCCGAUUGCGAAGGCAGUUCACUGGACUGCAACUGACACUGAGGCUCGAAAGUGUGGGUAUCAAACAGGAUUAGAUACCCGGGUAGUC
rnacentral:rRNA from 1 species